rnacentral:tRNA from 1 species
GCCACUUUAGCUUAGUGGUAGAGCGUCUUCUCCGUAAGCUGAAGGCCGUCAGUUCAAACCUGGUAAGUGGUU